rnacentral:rRNA from 1 species
UACGGGGGGGGCAAGCGUUGUUCGGAAUUACUGGGCGUAAAGGGCUCGUAGGCGGCCAACUAAGUCAGACGUGAAAUCCCUCGGCUUAACCGGGGACUGCGUCUGAUACUGGAUGGCUAGAGUUUGGGAGAGGGAUGCGGAAUUCCAGGUGUAGCGGUGAAAUGCGUAGAUAUCUGGAGGAACACCGGUGGCGAAGGCGGCAUCCUGGACCAACACUGACGCUGAGGAGCGAAAGCCAGGGGAGCAAACGGG